AUGAACGCUGGCGGCGUGCCUAAUACAUGCAAGUCGAGCGAACGGACGAGAAGCUUGCUUCUCUGAUGUUAGCGGCGGACGGGUUAGUAACCCGUGGAUAACCUACCUAUAAGACUGGGAUAACUUCGGGAAACCGGAGCUAAUACCGGAUGAUAUUUUGAACCGCAUGGUUCAAAAGUGAAAGACGGUCUUGCUGUCACUUAUAGAUGGAUCCGCGCUGCAUUAGCUAGUUGGUAAGGUAACGGCUUACCAAGGCAACGAUGCAUAGCCGACCUGAGAGGGUGAUCGGCCACACUGGAACUGAGACACGGACAAGACUACUACGGGAGGCAGCAGUAGGGAAUCUUCCGCAAGGGGCGAAAGCAUGACGGAGCAAAGCCGAGUGAGUGAUGAAGGUCUUCGGAUCGUAAAACUCUGUUAUUAGGGAAGAACAUAUGUGUAAGUAACUGUGCACAUCUUGACGGUAACUAAUCAGAAAGCAACGGCUAACUACGUG
rnacentral:rRNA from 1 species